UUGGAGGGCAAGUCUGGUGCCGGCAGCCGCGGUAAUUCCAGCUCCAAUAGCGUAUAUUAAAGUUGCUGCAGUUAAAAAGCUCGUAGUUGAAUUUCGGGACCAAUAUGUCGGUCGUGCCUCGGUACGUACUGGCAUCGUUGGUUUCUCCCUUCCGACGAACCAUGAUGUCAUUUAUUUGGUGUCGUGGGGAAUCAGGACUGUUACUUUGAAAAAAUUCGAGUGUUUAAAGCAGGCUCACGCUUGAAUACAUUAGCAUGGAAUAAUGAAAUAGGACGUUUGAUUCUAUUUUGUUGGUUUCUAGGAUCGACGUAAUGAUUAAUAGGGAUAGUUGGGGGCAUUAGUAUUCAAUUGUCAGAGGUGAAAUUCUUGGAUUUAUUGAAGACUAACCACUGCGAAAGCAUUUGCCAAGGAUGUUUUCAUUAAUCAAGAACGAAAGUUAGGGGAUCGAAGACGAUCAGAUACCGUCGUAGUCUUAACCAUAAACUAUGCCGACUAGGGAUCGGAUGAUGUUAAUUUUUUAAUGACUCAUUCGGCACCUUACGGGAAAC
rnacentral:rRNA from 1 species